ACGCGCAGCCGGAUCCCGCCAUCGGUGUGGACUGCGGGCGCUGACACGGGAGCUGACGCGACGCCCGGGACAGGCCGGCAGGACCUGAGGUCACAUCCCCGCCCGCCGGACCAGCGGCUCCGCAGGGAGGGGCCUGCAGCCGCCUCACCGACUGCCGGGACCUCAGGCCGCCAUGACACCGGAAACGCCAAGAGCAGAAGAUUCAGAAAAAAGAUCCCUCACCCAGUUAUACAUAUUGAUUGGAAGGAAGAAAAAGUGCUGUUCAACUUUGUUCUGCAGUUCUUCUAGCUUAUUUGUAAUCAGACUUGAAACUCACUGACUUCUCAUCCUAAGCAGCAGUGAAAACUGUUUGAAAUUUCCUUUUAAAAUAUGAUUUUUCCAAAGACUCAGUUUCCUUUUAAAUACAAGAAUCUUGUCACUUAAGUUCAUGCAUUUUCUUCAGGGCGUUACAGAGACUUUUUCAACAGCCCCAUAGACUCAAAAAUGUCUGCUAAGAAGGUGAAUUUCUGCCAUCGUUCUUCAUGUUCAAAGCAUCGGCAAAAGCUGGCCUCCUAUUUUCUUGAAAAGUAUCCUGCAAUUCACCUUUCAGCUGUACGUCCUAUUGAGAACUCCUCCUCUGCCAACCACCAGAUAUCUGUGUGUACCAAGAGAUUUGAGUGUUCUUUGUCCAGAUUUUUAAAUAUUUUUGAGUGAACAGGUCUUUGUUUAAUAAAGUUAAGCAUUUUUGUAACAUCA